rnacentral:lncRNA from 15 species
AUGACACAGCAUCGGGAGCAAUUCGGGGUUCAGUAUCUUGACAGGGAUCGAACCAUCAACCUUCCGAUUAGUGGACGACCCACUCUACCUCUGUGCCUACCUCUUGUCAAUUAUUUCUUUGUUGUGUCAUCACUGUGUUCAGUAUUGUUUACUGAACCACACACUCUCACCUCUUUUCUGCCAGACCCUGCCUCCAACGAAAUAAAAGAGUCUCCAAACAACCAGGUCUGGUGGUUAUGGAGAAUUAUGGACAACCUGGCAGCAAAUAAGAGCCACAUACCCUGUCAGUCGUGGGCGGGCCAGAAUGGCUGGUCCACAACUUCAAUGCAAGGAUCCCUCUUCAACCCGCUGGCCAGCUCUCAGCAUCUCAGCCUGGGCUCGUCUUCUGACCAAAGACCCUCCUACAACCACCUGCAGGCGCCCAAUCUGAGCUGUAUGAACGACAUGAGCACCUUAUCAUCCGCUCAUCACUCUGCCCUGUACAAAGCCUCUCACAUUAACAACAAUUCGUCAUCCACUACGCUGUUUGCAAACACUGCUAUCCCGAGUUCUUCUCACAGUAUUUCCUUUGCUCAGCAAAGCCCUCACACCUCAUCAAUGCUGUUAAAUGCAAACCAAGGCAUAAACAUUCCCCAAACAAACCAAGCUCCACAGCCUUGUAGGCCCCAACAUCUACCACUCCUGCCACCCCAUGACCCUUACAAAGCAUCAGUUCAACCUCCAUUAACCAAUCAGGGUUUAUCAAACGGACUACAAGAUCUUCCCAUUAGUCUGCCGUCCUGUGGACAACGUGAGCAGCAUCAGUGGAUACCUUCAUCACACUGCAGGGAAGCUGUAAACGACUCUGAUGCAACUGCUCAUCCUAACAAAGAGUCAUCGCAAGAGGGAAACAUUAAUCCACUGGCCAGCAGUGAGAGACAGCGUUCACUACUUUUACAUCAACGUGCACAACUACUGCAACAGCUGGCAGAGCUGGAUAAACAUCUGGAAUCAAUACCUCCAGAUGACAGUAGUAAUGGGCGGCCUCCACACACAGCUGUUCAGCCACAGUUGCGUCCUGCAGUGGGUUGUGGUGACAAAGAUGAGACCUGUGACGCACCAGAUGAUCCAAUGUCUACAGCUGAAUCAGUGAAAAAGAAAGAAAAAAGAAAGAAAAGAAAAAAUUCCUCAGCCGAGUCAGAGGUCGACAGUGAUCCUGAUUACCUUCCUAAUAAUAAUGAUGAUGAGCACUCUGAUUACCCAUCUGAUCCUGCCGGUGGCUUUUCAGAUGACUCUGAUCACAGCAGGCCCUCAACCCCCACUGAUGAAACGCCUUCUCUGCCAGGGAAAAAAAGGGCUAAAUCAGGGAGUUCUUCGUGUGAAGCCGAAAGCGCCAGUCCUCCGAAACCGACACAAGCAAAUAAGCAGAAGAAGUCAGAAACUGUAGUGCUGCCGACUUCAAAUACCAAAAUAAAACGCGUUUAUGACAGGAGGAAUUACUGCCCAUUUUGUUCUAAGCCAAUAUCCAAAAUGGCACGACAUCUGGAGUCGAUCCACAGCGACAAAAAAGAGGUUGCAGCCGCUUUUCAGUAUCCCAAAAGUUCCAGAGAAAGACAAAAAAUAUGGAACAGACUAAUAAAUCAAGGAAACUUUGCUCAUAAUAAAAAUGUCUUGAAAUCCGGGAAGGGCCAACUUGCUGUACGAAAAAGACCAAAGCACACUGGACAAGCCCAAGACUUUAUUCACUGCCUUUACUGUCGAGGCCUUUAUGUGAAGAAUGCUUUGUACAGACACAUGAGGCUGUGCCCAGAGAAAGCGAGGAAUGGAAAUGAAUCAAAGAUCGGAAGACCACGUAUCGCAUUGCGAUGUGUGCUUGAAACUUCAGACGACCUUGACGUAACUGACGGUUUUAGGAGCGUUCUGGCCCAGAUGACCUACAACGAUGUCACACGAGCUGUCAUGGAUGACAAGGUUAUCUUGCAGUUUGGUGAACUCUUGUAUAAUCAGCACGGAUCUGAUGUGAGGAAGCACGACUACAUAAGACAAAACCUUCGUCAGAUGGCGAGACUUGUACUCGAAGCCCAGAAAGUAACUCCUCUGACGAAACUGGAGGACUUCUUUCUCCCUUCAAACUUCUCACAUGUGGUGGCUGCAGUGAACGUCCUGGCAGGUUACAAUCCAGAAACCAAAUCGUACAGCAUUCCUUCCCUUGCCAUCAAGCUUGGCUACCACCUACAGAAGACUUGUAGCAUUGUUGAGGGUAACGCAGUUAAGUCCGGGGAUGCACGUUUGGCAGAGGCUGCACGAAACUUUCUCUCUGUGUAUCAGAAAAAAUGGAACAAGUUGAUUUCUUCGGGUGCAUUAACGACACUCAGAAAGACUAAAAUAAAAAAGGAGAAGAAGGUGCCGUUUGCUGAAGAUGUAAAGCGCCUGAACUUCUACAUGGAGUACAUUCAUCCUCUCACUGAGGAAAAACUCAGAGACAGUCCCUCUUCAGAAAACUAUGCCGCUCUGGCCAAGGUAUUACUGGCUCGAACGAUCAUCUUCAACAGGAGAAGUGCCAGAGAGGUAUCGUCGGUGCAUCUAACAGCUUUUAUGUCACGGAUAAAGUCAAGCGUGCAGACUGGCAUGGACAUAUCCGUGUCAGAUUUGGAAAGAAGGAUGUGUGGGUCCUUCACCAGAGUGGACAUACGAGGAAAGUGUGGGAGAAUGGUCCCUGUUUUACUAAAACCAUCAUUCGUGUCUUCUUUGGAGUUUCUCGUAGAAGUCCGCGAGACGUGUGGAGUCCCCAGUAAGAAUCCCUACCUGUUCGGUCGACCAAGCUCGCUCUCUUCCUACAAUGGGUCAGAGUCCCUCCAGAAAUACGUCAAAGCAUGUGGAGCUAAGAACCCUGAAGCGCUGACUUCACCAAAGAUCAGGAAGCAUUACACAACAAUGCUACAGAUGAUGAACCUGGAUGAAAAUGAGGCUUGCCAAAUUUUAGGCCCAAAUAAUCAAGUCCGAAGGCUGCGACAGGACAGCAGCAUGCACCUGGAUGACACCGAAAUGGGGUCUGAUGAGAGAUUACAAACUGCAUCAGGACAACUAGCUGCAUCAUGGGAUUACAGUGAGCAUCCCAGUGCACGCUAUGGCGCCAACAUGACUGUACCUUCAACAUCUAGAAAAUCAGGCAAAAAAGGCGCCCAAAAUCAGGGCAAACAUAAAUGGGACGAAGAAGAGGUUCUUGCUGUGGAAAGACACCUGAUGAGUUUAAUUGAGGGACACAAGGUGCCCCAGAAAAACGACUGCAUUCAGUGUCUCGAGGCUGAGCCAGAAGCACUGAGGAACCGUUCAUGGAAAGGUGUAAAGGACUACGUCAGAAACAGGAUCACUGCCCUGAAAAGACAAAGCACAACUUCCCACAAAGAGUAA